UCGGGAAUAUUGCGCAAUGGAGGAAACUCUGACGCAGUGACGCCGCGUAUAGGAAGAAGGUUUUCGGAUUGUAAACUAUUGUCGUUAGGGAAGAAAAAAGACAGUACCUAAGGAGGAAGCUCCGGCUAACUACGUGCCAGCAGCCGCGGUAAUACGUAGGGAGCAAGCGUUAUCCGGAUUUAUUGGGUGUAAAGGGUGCGUAGACGGGCGAUCAAGUUAGUUGUGAAAUCCCUCGGCUCAACUGAGGAACUGCAACUAAAACUGGUUGUCUUGAGUGCAGGAGAGGUAAGUGGAAUUCCUAGUGUAGCGGUGAAAUGCGUAGAUAUUAGGAGGAACACCAGUGGCGAAGGCGACUUUCUGGACAGUAACUGACGUUGAGGCACGAAAGUGUGGGGAGCAAACAGGAUUAGAUACC
rnacentral:rRNA from 1 species